rnacentral:rRNA from 1 species
GAUGAACGCUAGCUACAGGCUUAACACAUGCAAGUCGUGGGGCAGCAUGAAGGAAGCUUGCUUCCUUUGAUGGCGACCGGCGCACGGGUGAGUAACGCGUAUCCAACCUUCCCCUUACUAGAGGAUAGCCCGGCGAAAGUCGGAUUAAUACUCUAUGUUCUCCUUAGAGGGCAUCUGACGAGGAGCAAAGAAAUAUCGGUAAGGGAUGGGGAUGCGUCUGAUUAGCUUGUUGGCGGGGUAACGGCCCACCAAGGCAACGAUCAGUAGGGGUUCUGAGAGGAAGGUCCCCCACAUUGGUACUGAGACACGGACCAAACUCC